CACUCUUCACCCAUAUAAUAUUCAGAACUCAUAUAAUAGUCUUACAAUAAUAAUUCCUAUUAUCAAAAAGGCAUGCUCCCUCAGGACCCUCACCAACUUUAUGCAGUGAGCAACAGAUGUGCUGUACCUGAGACUACGGAGAAUGGAAGAGACGCCGAAGAAGGAGAAGGAGAAGGAUAAGGAAUCGGAACAAUAAAUACCAAAGAGAUCGGCGGCGAGGCACACUUGCGACAACGACGGUUCCGAUUUGGUCACCGAUGAUCGUCUCUGUGUUGGUGCCGCUGUAGUGAUCGGCAGCGGCUGUGAUCGUAAACUGAUUCCAGAAUACCUUUACCGAUGAGCUCAUGGAAACCCAGCUUCUAACGAAUCCAUUUGCAAAUGAUGCUGAGUCAAAUCUGAGGUUCUUCUUGUCUUUCUUUUGAGAAUUAGCACACGGAAACCCAGCUUGUAUUGAUCCAUUUGCAUUGAAAAGAGGAAACAAAAAAAAAAAGGAAGAAAA